UACGGAGGGGGCUAGCGUUGUUCGGAAUUACUGGGCGUAAAGCGCGUGUAGGCGGUUCUGCAAGUCGGGUGUGAAAGCCCCGGGCUCAACCUGGGAAUUGCAUUCGAGACUGCAUUGCUGGAGUACGGAAGAGGAAGGCGGAAUUCCCGGUGUAGCGGUGAAAUGCGUAGAUAUCGGGAGGAACAUCAGUGGCGAAGGCGGCCUUCUGGUCCAGUACUGACACUCAAGUGCGAAAGCGUGGGGAGCAAACAGG
rnacentral:rRNA from 1 species